CCCUACGGGGGGCAGCAGUGGGGAAUUUUCCGCAAUGGGCGAAAGCCUGACGGAGCAAUCUCGCGUGAGGGAUGACGGCCUAUGGGUUGUAAACCUCUUUUUUCAGGGAGGAACAAAAUGACGUGUACCUGAAGAAUAAGCAUCGGCUAACUCCGUGCCAGCAGCCGCGGUAAGACGGAGGAUGCAAGUGUUAUCCGGAAUCACUGGGCGUAAAGCGUCUGUAGGUGGUUUGAUAAGUCAACUGUUAAAUCUUGAAGCUCAACUUCAAAAUCGCAGUCGAAACUAUUAGACUAGAGUAUAGUAGGGGUAAAGGGAAUUUCCAGUGGAGCGGUGAAAUGCGUAGAUAUUGGAAAGAACACCGAUGGCGAAGGCACUUUACUGGGCUAUUACUGACACUCAGAGACGAAAGCUAGGGUAGCAAAUGGGAUUAGAUACCCCUGUAGUCCG
rnacentral:rRNA from 1 species